CUUGUAGGCGGUCUGUCGCGUCUGCUGUGAAAAUCCGGGGCUCAACCCCGGACUUGCAGUGGGUACGGGCAGACUAGAGUGUGGUAGGGGAGACUGGAAUUCCUGGUGUAGCGGUGAAAUGCGCAGAUAUCAGGAGGAACACCGAUGGCGAAGGCAGGUCUCUGGGCCAUAACUGACGCUGAGAAGCGAAAGCGUGGGGAGCGAACA
rnacentral:rRNA from 1 species